rnacentral:sRNA from 1 species
CUUCUGUUAGGUGAGGCUCCUGUAUAGAGAUAUGCUGCUGCCCAGAAACGUCGAAAGACGCCAAUGGGUCAACAGGGAAAAUCGGAGUAAGGUUUUUCUUAAUGUAGCUGGUCUUCCUAUGCUAUACAGUGCUAAAACUCGGCAAGGG